GACGAACGCUGGCGGCGUGCUUAACACAUGCAAGUCGAACGGAAAGGCCCUGCUUGCAGGGUACUCGAGUGGCGAACGGGUGAGUAACACGUGGGUGAUCUGCCCUGCACUUCGGGAUAAGCUUGGGAAACUGGGUCUAAUACCGGAUAGGACCGCACUUUAGUGUGUGUGGUGGAAAGUUUUUUCGGUGUAGGAUGAGCUCGCGGCCUAUCAGCUUGUUGGUGGGGUAAUGGCCUACCAAGGCGGCGACGGGUAGCCGGCCUGAGAGGGUGUACGGCCACCUUGGGACUGAGAUAAGGCACAGACUCCUACGGGAGGCCGCAGUGGGGAAUAUUGCCCAAUGGGCGCCAGCCUGAUGAAGCGACGCCGCGUGGGGGAUGAAGGCCUUCGGGUUGUAAACUCCUUUCGCUAGGGACGAAGCUUUUUGUGACGGUACCUAGAUAAGAAGCACCGGCUAACUACGUG
rnacentral:rRNA from 1 species